rnacentral:snRNA from 1 species
AUUGCUUCUUGGCCUCUUGGCUAAGAUCAAGUUUAGAAAUAGGAUUAGACUAUGUAUUAUUUUGAAACUUGCUUUUUUCAGUUCUAGGUCUAAUUAUAGAGGAAAAAAACUGUUUUUGCAACCUUCCCUCUAAAUGGCUUCUUAGGUUAAAUUUAC